rnacentral:rRNA from 1 species
CCGGCGACCGGCGCACGGGUGAGUAACACGUAUGCAACCUGCCCGUGGCAGGGGGAUAAGCGGGGGAAACCCCGUCUAAUACCGCGUAACGCGGCCUAGGGACAUCCCAAGGCCGCCAAAGGGAGCAAUCCCGGCCACGGAUGGGCAUGCGGCGCAUUAGCUAGUCGGCGGGGUAACGGCCCACCGAGGCGACGAUGCGUAGGGGCUCUGAGAGGAAGGCCCCCCACACUGGUACUGAGACACGGACCAGACUCCUACGGAAGGCAGCAG